UAAUGUCUGGGAAACUGCCUGAUGAGGGGGAGUAACUACUGGAAACGGUAGCUAAUACCGCAUAACGUCGCAAGACCAAAGUGGGGGACCUUCGGGCCUCAUGCCAUCAGAUGUGCCCAGAUGGGAUUAGCUAGUAGGUGGGGUAAUGGCUCACCUAGGCGACGAUCCCUAGCUGGUCUGAGAGGAUGACCAGCCACACUGGAACUGAGACACGGUCCAG
rnacentral:rRNA from 1 species